UACGGAGGGUGCAAGCGUUAAUCGGAAUUACUGGGCGUAAAGCGCGCGUAGGCGGAUUGAUAAGUCAGAUGUGAAAUCUCGGGGCUCAACCCCGAAACUGCGUCUGAAACUAUCAAUCUAGAGUUAUGGAGGGGGAAGUGGAAUUUCGCAUGUAGGGGUAAAAUCCGUAGAGAUGCGAAGGAACACCAGAGGCGAAGGCGACUUCCUGGCCAUUAACUGACGCUGAGGCGCGAAAGCGUGGGGAGCAAACAGGAUUAGAUACCCCUGUAGUCC
rnacentral:rRNA from 1 species